UCCCCGAUGGCUCAGCGGGUAAAGAAUCUGCCUGCAAUGCAGGAGACGCAGGUUCGAUCCCUGGGUUGGGAA
rnacentral:tRNA from 1 species